CCCCGCCCCACCCUGCACACAGGGGUGCAGGCACCUCUUAGUCCUUAUUAUCCAGCUCGAGACACUGGUCCCGCCCCCCCUGGGCGGAGGCAGGCCUCUCGAGGGCGGUGUGUGUGUGGGGUGGGGGGGCUUGGUGUGGACAAAUCCAUGCUCCUUAACUGCCAGGGUGACUGGGGCCUUGGCCUGGUUUCAAAGGCAGCAGGUUUAGAAGCCUCACCCUCUAACCAUCCCCGCCCACAGCUGGCCUUGCACAGAAAACCCAGCCAUGGCUAUGAACUUGGGGGAACAUGCCUUCAUCUUCUACCCCCAGCAGUCUCCCUGCCCUCCAAGCCAACCUACUGAUCACGAUAAAGAUAACUGCAGCUGCCAGGGAUGGGGCGCUACUUCUCACACUCUCUGCGAGGUAGGUUCUCCAACUCUCUCCUACAGAUCCAGCCCCGCUCCAGGCCAGCCAGACCUGACAGGCCACCUGCCUGCCGGGGACUCUUGUAAGUCACUCCCUCCGCUUGCAGGGAGGCAGCGCAGCCUGAGACCCACGGACCCUCUCCCGGCAGCACCUCCCUGCCUGGGCCCAGGGCGGGCUGGUUUCUUUUCCCCAGGCUGCCCAGGUCUGCAGGCUGGGAGAGGGAGGUAGGCCCAUUCCAGAGGGGCUUGCUGCCCUCCUGUGGCCUGGUGCCAUGGCUGCCACAACUCCCUCCUCCUGCUGUCGCUGCUACGCCUGGGCUCCAGCGGGGAGAGGGCAGGGAAGAGAAAUGUGGAAGUGGGAAGGUAAGGGGAAAGAAGUGCAGAAAGAGGGGUGGCCCAUCCAGCAUAGCUCAGUGGUUGGGCAUCCAACCUAUGAACCAGGAGGUCAGGGUUCGAUUUCCAAUCAGGGUACAUGCCCGGGUUACAGGCUCGAUCCCCAGUGUGGGGCAUGCAGGAGGCAGCCGAUUACUGAUUCUCUCUCAUCAUUGAUGUUUCUAGCUCUCCCUCUCCUUUCUCUCGGAAAUUAAUAAAAAUAUAUUUUUUUUUAAAAAGAAAGAAAGGUGGGUAGGCAUUGGGGAAGGACGGAGCCUUCUGCAGCACCUGGAGAAUGGCAACAAUAACAAAACUAAUAAUAAUAAUUGAAAGGCAGCUAGCACGUAGAACGUUUUACCACUUACAUUUUCUCAUUUAAUCCUUACAUUUACAACAAUGUGACGAGUAGCUGCUUAUGAUCAUCCAAGGCUUGGUCAUUUGUUCAAAUGUCCCAACUGGCGAAGGACAGAGCCAUCCUCACCACCUCACUGCUCCAGCCUCCAGCUGCUCCUCCCACUCAGGGGGGCACAAAGAUGGCGAGCCUCUGGGCACUGCGGGGGGCCCCCAACCCCGUGUGGCUUUGUCCUCUGUCCAUCACCCCCGUUCCCUGGCGCUGUACCCUGCUGGGGGCCCACGUGGUCAGGAUCACCAUCACCAGGAGGUCUGCUGGGACGGGGUGGCCUUGUUUGUGCCUCGGGUCUCCAGCCUCCCUGCUGCCCAAGGACUGAUGUUCGGCACCAAGCCACGCGCAGGGCCCAGGUCAUUUUUGCUGCUGAGGAGACAGAGGCAGAAAGACCAGGAAAUUCCCAACCACCAGCUAACAUGGCAGAGCCAAUAACAGCGACGGACUGAUCCAUUGGCCUGAAAAGAUGUCCUAGUGCAUUGCUUGGUUAAAAAAAAAGAAAGAAAAGAAAAAAGAAAAGAAAGCAGGUUUUAAACCUGUGGACAGAAAGAAAAGAUUUUAUUAAUGAAACAAAAUUGUUUUCUAUGUAUCUAAGUAUAGAAAAAGGAUAUUUGCCAAGAUGUUAACCAAUGAGUUUUGUUUAUUUUCUCUUGGCUGUGUUUUCUAUUUAUUUUCAAUGAGCAUUGAUUAUUCUCAUGAUUUUAAGAAUAAAAAUAAACCAAUCCCAGA